CAACAACUCUUGAGGAUGCCUCGUAGAGAGGCGAAACACGUGUCGAGGUUUAUUCUUUUGGUGGUGGUUUGUUAUAUUUAUUUGCGUAUUUAUUUUUGCGGUGGGAGGGUGGGAAUAUUAAUUGCAUGUAAAAAUACGCAAGUAAGUAUAACGGGUUAGCACUGAUUGACUAGCACGUUAUCUUUUCGCGGAUUAGCAAAGUAAGUAAGUAAAUAUUCUUUAUUGUGCACCAUACAGUUAAAAAUACACAGAAAAU